rnacentral:rRNA from 1 species
CCCCCCCCUCCUCCUCGGAAGAGAGGGGUCGCCGCGCGCUUUAAAGGCUCGCCGCUUCGGUUUUCGUUUUCGUGCUGGCUGGCGCUCUCAGAGCUCGUGCUAAGAACCCCGUCCGUCGGGCGAAAGGGAAUCCGGUUCCUAUUCCGGAACCCGGUUGCGGAACCGCACUCACGAUCCUCGUAUUGACACGGUAACGUGAAAGACCCUAGCGAUGCCGUCUGGAGCCCCGGGAAGAGUUUUCUUUUCUGCCUGAGCGCUCGGGUUCCAUGGAAUCCUCUCGCAGGGAGAUAUGGAAUGGAGCGCGAAGAGCAUCGCAGUUGCUGCGAUGUCCGGGGAGUCCCGUCGGUCCUUGAAAAGCUAGGUGAGGGUCACGUGGAGGCGUCGCACCGGUUCGUACCCAUAUCCGCAGCA